rnacentral:rRNA from 1 species
GUGGGGAAUAUUGGACAAUGGGCGAAAGCCUGAUCCAGCCAUGCCGCGUGUGUGAAGAAGGUCUUCGGAUUGUAAAGCACUUUAAGUUGGGAGGAAGGGUAGUAACCUAAUACGUUGCUACUUUGACGUUACCGACAGAAUAAGCACCGGCUAACUUCGUGCCAGCAGCCGCGGUAAUACGAAGGGUGCAAGCGUUAAUCGGAAUUACUGGGCGUAAAGCGCGCGUAGGUGGUUUUGUAAGUUGGAGGUGAAAUCCCCGGGCUCAACCUGGGAGCUGCCUCCAAAACUGCAUGACUAGAGUACGGUAGAGGGUAGUGGAAUUUCCUGUGUAGCGGUGAAAUGCGUAGAUAUAGGAAGGAACACCAGUGGCGAAGGCGACUACCUGGACUGAUACUGACACUGAGGUGCGAAAGCGUGGGGAGCAAACAGGAUUAGAUACCCGAGUAGUCC